GCGGCGGACGGGUGAGUAAUGCCUAGGAAUCUGCCUAGUAGUGGGGGAUAACUUGCCGAAAGGUAAGCUAAUACCGCAUACGUCCUACGGGAGAAAGCAGGGGACUCUUCGGAGCCUUGCGCUAUUAGAUGAGCCUAGGUCGGAUUAGUUAGUUGGUGAGGUAAUGGCUCACCAAGACUGCGAUCCGUAACUGGUCUGAGAGGAUGAUCAGUCACACUGGAACUGAGACACGGUCCAGACUCCUACGGGAGGCAGCAGUGGGAAAUAUUGGACAAUGGGGGCAACCCUGAUCCAGCCAUGCCGCGUGUGUGAAGAAGGUCUUAGGAUUGUAAAGCACUUUAAGUUGGGAGGAAGGGCAGUUAACUAAUACUUGACUGUUUUGACGUUACCGACAGAAUAAGCACCGGCUAACUUCGUGCCAGCAGCCGCGGUAAUACGAAGGGUGCAAGCGUUAAUCGGAAUUACUGGGCGUGAAGCGCGCGUAGGUGGUUCGUUAAGUUAGGAGUGAAAGCCCCGG
rnacentral:rRNA from 1 species